rnacentral:lncRNA from 1 species
UUGGAACCAGAUUCAUUCACCCAGCCACAUUUAAGAGCUUCUGGGGCUGUGUGUCAGACAUUCUGCUAGUUGCUGGCAUAGAGUGAUGGAGAAAGUAAACACAGUGCCUGGUCUCAGGGGCUCCCAGACCAGCAGGGCAGGCUGACAGAUACACAUUUGCUCACACCUGACUACUAGCAGGGGCAACAUGCAGAGGCCCAUGAAGGAGGCGUUGGGCUGGAGCUAGGGCUCCGGGUGUGACUUGGCCCCUGCCUUUUGUCCGGACUGGAUGACUCAGGGCAGCCAGGCUGGAGAGGCAGAAGGAAGCAAGGAGACUGAUGGAGGAAAUGCUUCAGAGAAGAGGAAAUAUGCAGAAUGUCCCUUUCUCAUCCCACGUGGCUCAGGCCUAAUGACAAAAGCACGUCACCUACAGAUGUUCCUGAAUGGCACUGGGGCCCUUGGGCUUAGGAGGUUCAAGAUUCCAGCCAAGAGGCCCUAUCUGUAGGAGAAGGUAAGUAAAGAGCCAUAUUAGGUUCUAUGUCAAAGCCAAAAAAAUCAACUGCAAAAAUUGAAUUGGGGAUAUGUAGCUUUAGUAAGUGAUAAACACUACCUGAGUUAAAAGUGUAAAGCCAUCUUCAAAAAUCCUAAAGCAAUGUUAGAAGCCAUUCUAGAAGUGUAUUCACAGAUGCCAAUUAUCUGAGAGUUGUAAUCCUCUGACUGGGUAAGGGCACGCCCAGGACUUCACGUCCAGGCCUGGAUUAGACACCUAAAGAGUGCUGUGAACAUGCUGGAGGGUGACAGAAGUAUACUGAGAGAACAGUUGGUGUCUGGUGAAGAGGAGUCUGGGGGUGAGGUCCUGAUAGCCCUCUUCAAAAUGUCUGAAAUAUCGGGGCAAGAGGGCUUAGUUUUGAGAGUUUUUCUGAAUGGACUUAAGGGGUUGAAAUAGGGCCAGUUAUGUGAGUUCAACUGAUGGAAACACUGUCUAAACAUCAGAUAGGUUGCCUCAAGGCCUCUUUCUGUGGGGGUGAGGCGGGGGGUGGGGAGGAACAACCGUGGGCAGAAAUACUUAAGCAUCAGAGAAGCACUUUUACUAGAUAAUUUAAAAACCCCUUUUCACACUAGGAUUCCAUGCUUUUUUUGCUUCUCUAUUACUGUGUGUGGCAGAAUCUGCUAGUUAUUCCUUAUAUCCACUUUGUACUUUUUCUUUAGUACUAAAACCCAGUAUUUUUAACAUGCCUUCUGCAUGGAACAAGGUCUACUUUCCACAACCUUCCUUGGAACUAGGUGGGGCCAGGGGCUAAAACUGUGGCCAGUGAACUAAAAGUGGAAAUAUCAAGUUCAACUUCUGGGAAGUAGUAGUUAAGAGAGGGGGUAUACUCUUCUUUCCCCUUCUUUUUUGCUGCAGGCUGGAAUGUGGAUGUGGUGGCUGGAGUGCAGUAGUCAUUUUGGGCCAUAAGGUAGAAAGUCUAUGUUGAUAAGGAGCCUGGUUUCCUGAUGAUUGGGGAUGUUAUUACAACUCUAGUCUGUUUACCUUUCUUCUUCACUAUGUGAGAACAUAAUAAAGAACAUAGUAAAGUACA